CUCUCUCUCUCUCUCUCUCUCUCUCUCUCUCAUAUCUCAGAAGUCUUGCUGACGGUGUUAGAUAUCGGCUUCUCUCUGCCAGGUGUAACGAUACGCCUGGUUAUUGAAAAAUUAAUAAAACAGAACCAAAUUCAAUCAAAGCGUUCAAUCUUGUCAAGGAAUGGAUGUAUAUGUCGGUAUCAGUUCUGUAUCAGGUGUAAGGGCUGCUCCAAACGAUAGCUGAUGAGGACUGUGACCGAUGAGUAAAGACUGGAUCGUCCUGGAAAAACAAAGAGUGUACCUGUCUCUUUUAUUGGUUCUGCUGACAAGAGAAUAUGUGUUAUCCACACAGAGGGCAAUGGAGAUACAGAGAGUGAGAGGGAGGGGGAUACAGAGGGAGGGAUAUACAGAGAGAGAGGGAGAGAGAGAGGGGUGGAGAGAGAGAGAGAAGGAGAGGAAUGGAUACCACAAACAAAAAAGGUACUUAUUAGAGGUCAAGAGAGAGAGAGAGAGAGAGAGAGAGAGAGAGAGAGAGAGAGAGAGGAAACAGGUGAGAGGAGGGUGACAUAAGG
ensembl:lncRNA